UACGUAGGGGGCAAGCGUUGUCCGGAAUUAUUGGGCGUAAAGAGCGCGUAGGCGGUCCGGUAAGUCGGUUGUGAAAGUCGGGGGCUCAACCCUCGGAUGCCGAUCGAUACUGUCGGGCUAGAGUCCGGAAGAGGCGAGUGGAAUUCCUGGUGUAGCGGUGAAAUGCGCAGAUAUCAGGAGGGACACCGGUGGCGAAGGCGGGUCUCUGGGCCGAUACUGACGCUGAGGAGCGAAAGCGUGGGGAGCGAACAGG
rnacentral:rRNA from 1 species